rnacentral:rRNA from 1 species
AUUGAACGCUGGCGGCAGGCCUAACACAUGCAAGUCGAACGGUAACAGGAAACAGCUUGCUGUUUCGCUGACGAGUGGCGGACGGGUGAGUAAUGUCUGGGAAACUGCCUGAUGGAGGGGGAUAACUACUGGAAACGGUAGCUAAUACCGCAUAACGUCGCAAGACAAAAGAGGGGGACCUUCGGGCCUCUUGCCAUCGGAUGUGCCCAGGUGGGACUAGCUAGGAGGUUGAGUAAUGGCUCACCUAGGCGACGACCCCUAGCUGGUCUGAGAGAAUGACCAGCCACACUGGAACUAAGACACGGUCCAGACUCCUACGGGAGGCAGCAGUGUGGAAUAGUGCACAAUGCGCGCAAGCAUGAUGCAGCCAUGCCGCGUGUAUGAAGAAGGCCUUCGGGUUGUAAAGUACUUUCAGCGGGGAGGAAGGGAGUAAAGUUAAUACCUUUGCUCAUUGACGUUACCCGCAGAAGAAGCACCGGCUAACUCCGUGCAAGCCGCCGCGGUAA